UCCUCCUGGACCGAUGUCUUCCAGGAAACCUGCAACAUACCCUGGACGGGAUUCUGGUCCAUUACAGUCACAUACACUUACUCUGGGCAAUUUAUGUCAUGAAUAGUAGAGGGAGAAGCCAGUGUCCCCGGAGAAUCAAGGGAACCCAUGCAAGCUCCACCCACGCAACAACCUGGAAGACGUGAGGGAACCGGUAAAGGGAGGCCAGACGCGCAGCUGGAAAGAUACUCUGACUUUCGUUUUACUCGCUCCCCGGGGUAACCACUUGCUCCCCGGGGUAACCACAACACACGCUCACCCCCGUAUGACGAAGCGCGUCACUGCUUGUCGUCUCGUGCAUGGCUUGAUGGCUGGAAAUGCGCUUCCCGUGGUCAAAGAGGGGUCAGCGUUUCAUAGGUGAGGAAAUCAGCAUACGGCAAUAUUUGGCUGAAAGACACCGCAGCACGGUGGCCAUUAUGAUGAGAGGAAGACAUUAAUUUUGUUUGAGUUCUGAGGGGAAGUUUAUUGCAUGCCAUGCUUAAAAGUUUGAUUAACAUCAUGUCUGUUAUUUACUUUGCUGUCAGUUCACAUCCUGCCCUAUUUUUCUCAAGACGCACCAUAGAAUACCUUACAUGUACUAUCAACAUGCUAAGUUCAAAUCCUCAUUUAUCAUUCUAUGAUUUGUAAAAGAGAAAAGAAAGAUCAGUUCUGUCAAGGAAUGCAGUUUGAUUCCAGCCGGCAUUUUCACAUUAAAGAAUUUUUACAUUUAUUUUGCUAGAAUUUGUCCAGUUUAUUGCCCCGAAUAAUCGUAACCAGGCGAGACCUCGUGUGCGAGCCUCAUUUUUAGAAAAGCUGUAAACUGAAACUGAUAUAUUUAUUUAUGAAUUUCAAAAUAGAACAUAUUUGAGGUGACGGGCUGUUUUUGUGACAUUGUCGGUCCUUCGGGAUGAUCCCUUUGAGGCACACGGCUUCUCAGACGGGCUAAUGGACAACACGUUUGCGGGCGCAUCGCAAAUAUCCCCCGUGAAGCAGCUCAGGGAGAGGAGCUCGCCUCCGCAGGAACUGCAUCCAGCUCCAUUUGGCUCCAUCUUCUCCAGGAUGAUGCCGAGCCCUGGCUCUAGUUUUGAUCAGGAAUUGUACACCUCCCCCCCGCCAACCUGAGACGCCCUCGUGAGCGUGGCCUGGGAGGGCCUCGAGGAGACCAUGGGGUUUUGGCUCACCUACGAACUUGUUCCCAGCAUCCGAGACACGGGGAGCACUUCCGAAAGCACACCAUUUCCGUGAUAGUGAAAUCCUCCCCCCACCAUUUUCCCAGGUUUUGGAGUGAUCUUCUCGAUCGGGGACAGAGGUACAAGGCACCUGAGAGCCAAAGCAGACAGCUCUGCGGUUGCAACGUUCUGCUUCACUGCGUCCAACCAUCACAUUCCUAAAUCGUGUGAAAAACUAUUCCGCGUCGCCACUGAGCUUAUGAGCCCUAAUGGUAUGGUUGAAAUUAUCUCCCAUAAAUCAUUGCUCUCAGAAGAAUCAUACUCUCUGCACAAAAUUGCAGGGCCUUAGUCCCGUCUUCCAGAGUGCGGGAAAUACUUGAUUUCGACCUGAGUGAUGCAAGAUGCAAGGUGUGGGGUGAAUAUGUUUCAGAAGUGUACUGGGAAGAUCCCGCUUCUUUUGGUACUGGUUGGACCCAGAAUCCUUCAGCACCAGGGGGACAUUAAGAACUGCACAUUCCUGCAGCCCCAGUCAGAUUUUUCAGUGAAUCACAGGAAGGAACGCUGAGUUAUUAAGGCUAUUAAACUGCUCAACAUAACAGCGUGUUGGGUGGUUUCUUUUCCAAGAAUAAUUUAGUAUAAAACGUUAAAGAUAAGAAUCCUUCUCGCCCUCAGUCACUUCUUGUUCGCAAAUGCGAAUUAGGGUUUAUAUAAAGAAAGAAACAUUGAUGCAGGGGAAAACAAGCCCACCUCGAAUUCUACCCAUUGUUGCCUUGU